rnacentral:rRNA from 1 species
UACGGAGGGUGCGAGCGUUAAUCGGAAUUACUGGGCGUAAAGCGCAUGCAGGUGGUUCAUUAAGUCAGAUGUGAAAUCCCGGGGCUCAACCUCGGGUCGUCAUUUGAAACUGAUGGGCUAGAGUACUGUAGAGGGGGGUAGAAUUUCAGGUGUAGCGGUGAAAUGCGUAGAGAUCUGAAGGAAUACCGGUGGCGAAGGCGGCCCCCUGGACAGAUACUGACACUCAGAUGCGAAAGCGUGGGGAGCAAACAGG